rnacentral:lncRNA from 1 species
GUUCGUGUUGUUUAUUCUUUAGUUUUCUUUGUUGUGUCAUGUGCACUUUUGUUUGUCUGUUUGUCUUUUUCAUUUUUAGCCAUGGCGUUGUCAGUUUAUUUCGAUUUAUGAGUUUGACUGUCCCUUUGGUAUCUUUCGUCCCUCUUUUAAUUAAUGUACUUGUUUGCAUUCAGUUAACUCAAAACUAUUGUCUCCUCGGUUGUCAGGUUGUAUUUUCGAACAUUCAUAAACGUUUUAAAAUAUAUUUUGUGGAAGGGCAGACUAAAAGUUUUCAGCGGUUGUAGACUAUACAACCUAGAUAUGAAACACACAAAAUCAAGUUUUUUUUCGAAGAUAUGCAUUUUUUAAAAUACAACUUAAAAGCCUGUCGUCAAGUACUUUUAGAAAGGUAUUUCACUUGAAUCAUAUAUUAUUUUUC